AAUGUGUGUGCAGAGCACGUGUUGUCAUACUCUCUCUUGAAAAAGAAAGACAACAAUUUAUCCCAUCACUUUUAUAUUAGAUUUGAAGCUCUAAUCUUCAUCAACUCACACAAAACCUAUUCUAAUUGUUGUGAAGAUUAAACAAUUAAGAGGAAGACCAAAGUAAAAAAUUGAGAAAAUUAAGCACCAAAUUUAAUAGAUCUGAUGACUAUUGAAAAUUGAUUUAACCAAGAAAUCAAAGCUGAGGCAUUUUUCAUGGUAUCAUGGUCAUCUGAGUUUUUUUAGUUUCCGGAGAUACUAUCAAUAGAUGAUUUUGGAUGGGAUGUUUUACAACUUGUAGCAGAUUAUUUCACUUCACUGAAUUUGAAAGAAAUUCUAGCUUUGUUGAAGGAAAAUAUGGCUGUCAAUCUGCCAUAGAUAUAGUGAUGCAGAGAAUGAAGAUUAGAAACACCGUAUGAAUACAACAAAGAGAGACCUUUUUAGCAGAUCAUCAUGCCUUCAUCUCCAGCAUGAUGAGUUGCGACAUAAAAUUUUUAUCAUGUUUGAUAAUUAUUUAAGCUUUCAUUCACCACAUUUGCUUCAGUCUUCUUCACUCUGAUCAAUCAGUAGACGAUUUGAAAUGGGAUAAAUGUGAAUCAGGUGUUUCAACAUCUACUGCUUGUGCUUUUUGUGUGGUUAUUUUGGUAAUGAUUAAUUGGAUAUGCUCCUAUAUUGAUUGACUUCAAUUUGUUGAUAGUUAUUAGGAGCAAACUACUUCAACUUUUAGGAGAACAAUUAAGAGUAAAUGUGCAAAACUAAAUGAAAAUAUUUUGAAUAAAAUGUGUAAUUGUGAUGAUUAUUUUUUAUUUUA